CCAAUUGAUGGACUAAUUAAAAGUAUGCCUGUCCUCGUGUGUGUGUGUGUGUGUGUGUUGCCAGAGAAAAGAUAGAGGCAUGCAUUGAAGUCCGAUUAUAGUUCUUCAAGACACAGAAUAGCUCGAGCUUGUGCUGCAGUCAUUAACUAAGCAAACCAUAGAAACAGCUGUUAGAAAGCCUCCUUAACUGUCCUUCUGCUGAUGCCUCAUUUCCAUGACGAAGAGAUUAGCGAGAUAAGGAAAAGAAAAAUCGGCAACCCGCUGCAACAUCACUGAUGCCAAAGGGAGGGAAGGAGGGGUGCAGAGGAGAGCUGACAUAGACUUCAUCAGAUACCCCAGCAAUGCUCCCUGCACUGUAAUCCCCACCUACACACACUUCUGAUGAUUCAUAGAAGAAAAGAAGCCCAAGCAUGUUUCCGUGCCUUCUCAUAAGCUCGACACAAACAAGCUGUGCCACGUGCCGGGCAAGCCACCAAGUCCCCAGGCACUUUGCAAAGUGUCGCUGGGCGGACUUUUACGGAGCAGAUGGUGAAUGGAAUCACCUUGGCUGAUCAUGCUUUCCAUUGAAUCAGCACAGCAGCCAAGGUCAGCUCCCAAAGUAGCAAUUUGGGAGUUACAAUCCUUGACAAAUAUAAAAUAUUUGUCAUUAAGGCAAUGGAGAGAAGGUCAAACAUAUGAGAAGGAAAAGAGAUCAUGCGCACAUUUCCUUUCAGUUGGCAUUCUGCCCUCAACAACUUAGCUACUGUGUUUCUAUGAAAGCAUAGAUGCAUAGAGUUGGAAGACCUCAAAAGGAUCAUCCAGUGCAACCAUGGCCAUGCAAGAAAACACAGCUAAGGUGCUCCUGAGAGAAAGCCAUUCAAUCUCCAUUUAAAAACCUCCAAAGAAGAAAAAAUAUUAUUUAAUAUAAUCUGUUCCAUUGUUAAAUAGCUCUUACUUUCUAUUAGUUCUUCCUAAUACAGACAGAAAGGUGGAAUUUCUUUCCUUAUAUUGGAAUCCAUUGGUUUAUGGUCAGGAGCAGAAACCAAGAUGGCUGCAACUCAAUGUUGUUUGGAAGAUUACUUUUGGUUACAGCCUGUUUGUGGAAAGUGCUUUAAGCUAAUGCCUUUAUCUGCUGAUUUGGAAGCAGUUUUCUCUCAUUCAUCUACCAUUCCAAAAUGCACUAUACUAGCAUUUAGUGUUUCAGGGAAUCCCACCGUCCUGUGGAGUAGGUUGGGCAAACAAAAGGGGCUGUGUUGUCAAAGGCUUUCAUGUCUGGGAUAACAGGGUUGUUGUAUGUUUUCCGGGCUGUAUGGCCAUGUUCCAGAAGUAUUCUCUCCUGAUGUUUCCCCCACAACUAUGGCAGGCAUCCUCAGAGGUUGUGAAGUAUGGAGAAACUAAGCAACGAAGGUUUAUAUAUCUGUAGAAGUUCCUCGGGGGGGGGGGGGGAGAACUCUUGUCUGUUGGAGGCCAGUGUGAAUGUUGCAACUAAUUAACAAUUAACAAUUAAAUAAAAAUGUACAAUUAUAGCAUGUUUUCUCAUUAUAGCUCUAAAAACAAGGGAGACAUGAACCCAUGAAGUUUCCCCACUUGCUCAAUUACUUGAUGAAAAAAGAAAGAAAAUUUGUUACCUCGUUGUAGUAACACAAAUUUUAGGUCCAUAAUUUUGGAAACACCCCCAAAAACUAUUCACCCCCCUCCUCAAUUUUGUAAUGAGUAUUGAAACUUUUUUUUCAUUGAUCGCACUGGUAUAUUGGUUAGCAUAACUUCAAAUUAUGCAUCAAUAAGUGUGGUACUGAAUUUUUGCCCUUGUCUUUGAUAAAUAUGUAAUGAAGUUUUAAUCUAUGGUGUUGAAGUCAAUUUAUGAAAAGAUGGAUAUUAUUGAAUUAUCCUACUGCAAAACUGAGCCAAAAGCCACUAUAUAUCACUUGUCAUUGUCCAAAACGGAUUGUGUCAUCCCUGACAUUCACAAUAAAAUCUCCAUCCAUUUCUUUCUCAGAUCCUGUGCUUUUGAGAAAUUUAUGGGACAUGUUGCACUUGCUGUUGCAAAUCAAUAAUUGAUCUCAGUUGCAUUGGCUUCACUUCUUCACACAUCAGAUUCAUGCAGUAAUAAACAAAGUGAUUAGCCAAGUGCGGAUUAUUGGAGAGAGCUCACUGAAUACUAAGUAUGCUAAGUUUGUCCUCCAUGCAUUACAAACAAAAUGAGGAAGAUAGGUUUGGUCUUUCAAAUUUGCAUGUAUUUCUGUCUAGGGAUGAAUGGAGUAUUCACAAAUAUUUCAAUCACAGAUUAAAAAUGUGGUUGGUUCCCAAGUAUCUGGUUAACAUAAUGGCAGUCAACUAGUGGCAGAAAAGAUAUAACUUGAGAUGGGCAAAUUUGCACUUACGUCUACAUGUGUCCUUUUCACAUGUAUACUUAUAUCUGUAUGUGCUCCAUUUGUUCAACAUCACAUUUACGAUAGAUGUUCCUGGCACUAUCUCUACCUUAUCUGAGCACUGUGCAUUCACAGGACAUGGAUGCUUGGUCAAAGGAAAAUCCGAUCAGCUGAUUUUUUUUCACAUUUAUACAAUGUCCACAUUUUAUUUUUAAGAAAAGAUGAUAAUGUGUACCUAAACAAUGGAUGUGAAUCUUUAUUUGGUUUGUCCUUUCAUAGUAAGGAGAUAGAUAAAGAUAUAGAUAUAGAUAUUCUCUAUGCCAUGACACUGAAAGAUAUUUUUUGCAUAAGGUUGUAUCUACACUGCCCUUUUCACCAGGAUAUGAUUCCAGAUUAUCUGCUUUGCACUGGAUUAUAUCAGUCUACAUUAUAUCACCCAAAUAAUCUGGGAUAAGCAGAUAAUCUGGGAUCAGAUCCUGGGAUAGAGGGCAGUGUAGAUCAAGUCUCGGAUUAGAGAGAUUUUGUGAUUUUUGAGACCAUCACUAAUGGACAUUUCUAUAACUGUAAAACAUAUAAAUAUCGCCUUUUCACAUGGACUACCAUGAAGCAGCGGCACUGGAUGGCUGUCUACGUCUUUUUGAUCAAUUAUUCUUUUAUUUUCUGCUUGUUCUAUUUAUGUGUGUUUAACUACAGACAGAGAAAAAGGCAUCAACUCUGCAUAGAGAUAGUUUGGGCAAAUUGCAGUGAAUGGAAACUCAAAACCAUUUGGUGCUUUUUCUCUUGUGACAAGAAAUAGGAAGGAAACAAAAAGGAAAAGGGGAGAGAGGGAUAUUUAGGAUAACAUAACAAUAAUAAAUAAAUAAUUGUAUUUCUUACUUUCCUCUCCUCAUGGCUCAUGGGUUGGACAUGUACAAUUGUAAGAUUGUCACAUAUCCAAGAAAAUAUAUUUUCUUGAAGUAAAUGUGUAUAAAGAGCUAAAGCAGUAAGAUCUGACUAUGGAAUAAUAGAGAAAAGGCAGCUUGUUAAUGUAGUUUGAUGCCACUUUGGUUGAAGUAUUGCCUGGCUGAAAAAGUAAGGUUUUGAGGAGUGGCAUCAUCAGACAAUGGAUCCCCAUCAUUAUAUGACGAUGAGCUUAGUCUGGAAGUCUAUCUUUCCAACCUUGGAGUUUGAACCUUUUUGCAAUGGUAAAAGCCUACAGGGAUCAACAGCAUUCGCUUCCGUUAAAUUCCACAUCUCAGAAAUCUAACAGAAAAAACACAUAGAUCAACAAAUGCAAGAUUUUUUCUAAUUCAAAAUAACUAUGUUCCAAUACAUCUAAAUAAGAGGCGCAAACACCAUUGAAGUUAACCACAUCAUAUCUCACAAAAAAUUAUCUGUCCUAAUGACACCAGUUCCUGUUAGAUCUUGGCAACUUAGCAAGGUCAGGUCUAGUUAGUGCUUGAAUGGAAGACCACCAAGGAAUGCCAGAUGCUAUAGGCAACAUUUCAGAAGAAGGAACUAGAAAAACCACAUCUGGUUAUUCCUGGCCUAGAAAAAGAUCUAUGAAAAUCAUAAGCUGACAGUGACUUAAUGCAUAAACAAACACAGUCCAACAUUAGUAUAAAGAAACAAUUUCUCAGACGAUUCAGAAAGUGUACAUGGCUGGUAUCAACAAUUGUCUCACCAUGUGCAAGAUUUUCCCGACAUCCCUAAAUUCUAAACAUGAUGACACACAAGUUGUAUAUGUUGCUUGAGGGGGGGGGCACCCUUGGACUCCUUUUCCAUAUUCUGAUGAACAACACCAGUAAAUUCUGGACUUCUUGUGGGUUGAAAUUUUGGUUCACAAAUGCUACCUAUGCAGCUGUGUGAGACAUAAUGGGAUGCUGCAGAUGUGUCCUUGAGAAUGAUAUACAAGGCAUCAGAUGGGAAGAGUGCCAUACGAUUUGUGCAAUGCUCCUUUCUGUUGAGAUAAUGAGAAAUGAUUGGAGAUAACAGAGCAUCUGCCCGUCUUCGCGUUGAAAAUAAAAUUUGUAAAUGAAAGCUUAUAUCUAGUUUGUUUUCAUUUUUAUUAUGAAAUAACAUAGAAUUACCAGGACAUAGUGAAUAAAUGGUUUAAAAUAUGUAUGUCGCAAUAUGUAAUAAGAGGGUUGUUUUUUACAACUAAACAGCAACCUAAUGCAUAUUCAAGGUCUUGGCAUACGUGUUUCUUUUACAUUCAUUUGAUCUUAUUUUUGAAUAGUUACCAAAUGGCAUUGGCUAUACCAGUUAUAUUUCUGAUAUUGUUAUACUUUGGUUUUAAAGAAAAACCAUCUGAUGCUUGCUGAUCCAAACUAAAUUAAUGUAGGUGACAGAUAUAUGUUUAACCAACAGUUUUGCACAAUUCAUUUCCCUUUGAGGUAACUGCCAUGCCAUGAACUUUGAGGGAACUAAAAUUUAGAUAUCUCAUAGAGUGAUAUAUUGGCAUCUACUGGGAUUUAAUUCCAGGAUACAUCCAUGGAGGUGAAAUACAUAUGAGAUGCUCAAAUCCAAUGGCAUAGCAAAUGGUUUCACUUUUAGAAGGUCUUCUUUUUAAAAAAUUGUGUUCAUGGUGUGUGUGGGUGUGUGAAUAAUUUCAAACCGUAGAUGAUUGAAUUCAUUGAUGCAUUAUCUGGGGUGUCACUUGAUUGAUUGUCACCAUGUUAUGGUAAGGGGGCUUGUAUGUUCUAAUAAACCUGUGGGCAUAACCAACUGAGUCAUGCACUUCCGGUGGAAGAUAACAUGGUCCAUGUUACAAAGGCUGUGAAGGCGGAAGAAGGCUGCAACAGACUCAGAAGCUACCAUUGUCAUGUUAACCACGCCACUGGUUGGAGCCCUCACUCUGUAAAGACUGUGUGUUGAUCAGCUGUGCACCGACCUCCACACAUUAAAAAAAACUCAUGAACAGACGUCUUCCAAGAACUUGGAUGGCCAUCAUACUCAGACAAUGAGGGAUUGCUUAAGUAAGUAUCUGGGGUACAAAGUAGCAAUUGUAUUUUUUAAGGAAAUUUAAAAGCUAUGAUCAGUUAAGCAAAGUGGAAACGCAGACCAGUCUUUAACUGGGAACUGAAGACCUGGUGGUGUCGGCAGGUUUUUGAGUAAUUACAUUGGAAUACCGCCGAUCUCUGGGCCUGAAUAUAUUACACAAGAUUUAUCUAGCCUACAAUGAUACAUUUUAAUAUAUUGGGUUUAUGGUUCCCAUCCCCUUGAUCAGGUUGUGUAAGUGUUAUUUAUUGCUAUAUAAUUGUAUUGUAUUGUUUUACCUUGCUUAAUAAUGUGUUAUUAUGUUGUUAUGUAAUAUAUGUGUAGUUUUUAUGAUUGGAAACCGCCCUGAGUCCCAUCCGGGAGAUAGAGCGGUAUAUAAAUAAAGUAUUAUUAUUAUUAUUAAGUCUUAAGAAGGCUACAAUGAGACUGCAAAAGGGGGGGGUUAUAAAUUUUAAAGAGCUAUACAUAUUAGAAAGAGUCUAGAUUCUUCUUUUGCAUUUCUUUGCUGGCUUCUAGAUCUUUUGGGUUUAGGAUGGAGAAGCUACCUUGAAAGCCAGGCCAGAUCAUACUUCACUGACUAACUUCUGAGUGUGUAGGCUAAGAAGCAGAUGAAAAACUCUCCAUCCAUCCUGACUGCUGUGGUCAAGGAGGGAAAAAAGAAGCAGUAUCUGUUGGACUUAAUCCUUUUCCCCACUGCUAUCCCUUUUUUCUUAUUGGCAUUGUAAGCCUGGGGGCAGGGAAUUGUUUAAUUAUGAAUUUUUAAGAUGUUCUCAGAACCUUUUGCCUCAAGAAUGCAUAUAAAUACACCAAACUGAUUAAAUUAUUUUAAAAAGCAUGAUAUGUUUCAGCUUCCACUUCCACCUUCUUCAGUAAUGUCUGUGGGUUAUUUUAUUUUUGGGAGAGGGUGGGGGAUUUUGGAAUACCUGUAUUUACAUAUGCAUACAUAAUGAAAUACCUUGGAAUUGGGACUCAAGUUGGGACUUGAAAUCCCAUGUAUAUUUCAUACACCCCUUAAACAUAUAGCCUGAAGUGGAAAUAGAGAUUUCACUUGAAUAUUAGGAAGAACUUCCUGAAAGUCAGAGCUGAUUGGUAGGAGAAUAUACUGACUUUGAAUGUGUUGGGGUCUCCAUCUUUUAAAACUGGAUGGCCAUCAGAAGAGGUUUGCUUUGUGUGCCCCUGUAUGGAAGAAGGAAGUUGGACUUGAUGCCUUCAGAUUUUUCCAGCUCUAGGAUCCUAGGACUCUAAGAUUGUGUUCACUGAACAAUCAGAAAGCAAAGAUGUCACUAUCUCAGUCAUCCACAUGGACGAUUUUGGAUUAUUUCAGAUUUCAGAGUUCUGGGUGAUGGAUGUUCAACCUGUACACAUAUUUACGUAGGUAUCUCUAUGACACUUUUCUUGUUUGAAAGUGCAGUCAGUUUUUAAAUGGUUUUAUUAUGACAUGAUACUGGCUUAUUGGCUACUCUCGCUAUGUGUGUCAAACCUAAACAAAAUUGUAGAAAUAAAAAAUCCUUCUUUCCCUAUGUGAAGAAUAACAGUUUCUCUCUGAUCAGAGUAACUAUGAUAAUUUCUCUUGGUCAAAGUUUGUGUGUGUGCAGGAAGGGCUAUCUUGACAGCAUCCUUUUGUCUACCCAAUGAUGUCACCUAAUUAAUGCUCCAGACAGAGAAGAGCAAGAGGUCAUCUGAGGUCAAAAUAUGAUAAACACCAGAACUUGGAACACAAUAGACAAAAAUAAUAAUAUUUCUGUUUGACAAUUCUGUCAUUUUAAGGGCAACCUUCUGGGGUGUGGGGGGAAUGAUCCCAUUACACAGACACAUCUAUCAACUAUUAUGUAUGCCCUGGUCCUGUCUAAGGUGAAUGAUGCUGAACUGUUGGCCUCUGAAAUC